rnacentral:rRNA from 1 species
GACGAACGCUGGCGGCGUGCUUAACACAUGCAAGUCGAACGGAAAGGCACUGCUUUUGUGGGGUGCUCGAGUGGCGAACGGGUGAGUAACACGUGAGUAACCUGCCCUUGACUUUGGGAUAACUUCAGGAAACUGGGGCUAAUCCCAGAUAGGAGCUCCUGCUGCAUGGUGGGGGUUGGAAAGUUUCGGCGGUUGGGGAUGGACUCGCGGCUUAUCAGCUUGUUGGUGGGAUAGUGGCUUACCCAGGCUUUGACGGGUAGCCGGCCUGAGAGGGUGACCGGCCACAUUGGGACUGAGAUACGGCCCAGACUCCUACGGGAGGCAGCAGGGGGGAAUAUUGCACAAUGGGCGGAAGCCUGAUGCAGCAACGCCGCGUGCGGGAUGACGGCCUUCGGGUUGUAAACCGCUUUCGCCUGUGACGAAGCGUGAGUGACGGUAAUGGGUAAAGAAGCACCGGCUAACUACGUG